UUGAAAAUUAUGUAACAUGGUAGACUAAUGUGCCUGUGUUGAUUCAGCUCCAUAUUAUUGUGUGAAGUUGCACUGGGUUGGGAGUGGUUGUGUGUGUGUGUCACAUUUUUGGUGAGCCAAUGGCUGGAAUGGGGUUGGACUAAUUAGAGGCAGGUGUACUUGAUUGCACUGAUACACUGGUCUACUUAUAGCCCACACUACAAACACUGCAACACUGCUGUGUCAUUUUGUCUCUCUGUGCAGGCCAGGGCCUAUUAUAUGCCACAGCCUAAAGGCAGCAGAGUUGCAGAGGCUGGAGUGACCACUGGCUAUAUGCUUACAGGGUGGUGGGUCUCAGACGACAACUUCUAACCCUGUUAAAGGCAACACGUGGAGUGCAACUGGUCGUGUGGCAUAGCUGGCUCUGGCCUUGGGACUGUGUGUUUUUUAUUUGAUUCAUAAAUGGGACACUGGACUGUUUUAUAUUUUAUCUCUUGAUUAUUUGUCAAUAAAUUAUCUUUUAGAAUUUUA